rnacentral:tRNA from 1 species
GAGCCUGUAGCUUAGCCUGGCUGGAGCACACGACUGAUAAUCGUGCGGUCGGGAGUUCGAAUCUCCCCGGGCUCA